UGUCGUAAAGUCGCUUCGGGAAUCGAGGCGGGCCCUAAUGCGAACGGCGUAACCUACGUACCUCCCGGGAGGUACGGCUACGCCGCCUGCGUAAAUGAGAACAGGUACAGUUUCCACAUGAACAAAAUCGAAGCUGCUCAGGAGGAACCACUGCUAUUUGGUCUCCAUAAACUGCUGGUGUUAAAUCUCCAUGAACAGUUUUGUCAGUGGACUUGAAUGAGACUAUAAAGUGUGUAUUGCAUGCAUGUCUGGAAUAGCCACAGCCUGGAUCUUGGGCACAGGAUACGUCUUUGUGGGGAGCAGUUCUGUCCCGCUGGCUCAGCUGCUGUUUUGCCAUUCCAAUCACACAUGCAACUGUGGAAGAAUUGUGUUGGUUCAGUCUUUGAGAGGUCCUCCAAAUUCCUGUGAUGUUCCUGCUGGCUGAGAUGUUUAGCUCUGUUGGGAGACCCCUCCAUCCUCUUCCUUGUCAGGAAAGGGACACAACUGGGCCCUGGAAGCCCAACUGGAUGGAGAGUGAGGGCAGGACUGGCUCUGAGAGUGGACUCCUUCUGGUGAUAUGGUUGAGAGUAAGCAUGGAUGAACAUCAUUUCCCCGCUGCUGAUGGAGCAAUGUCGUUUCCUUGCCUUUCUCUGCCUGCCCUUCACCACCAAAUGGGGGCAUCAGUGAGGGAGCACCUCUUGUGACUGGAACAGUGCCUGUGCAGCUGAGCCCUGCAGGUUUCAUCUCCAGGCCCUGUGACUUUGGUGUGACACGAGAUUACAAAGAGUGAUGAGACAGCUUGGUGUGCAGGAAGGUUACCCCAGCACCUGGCCCCCACAGCUCUGAGUUAGGACACCUUGUCACCAUUGUGCAUCUGGAGUGAAAGAAGAGCUUGCAUCUGGCUGAAUGCUUUCAGAUCGAGCCAUCUUUGCCAACCAAAGCAGAUUCUUCUUGCCUGCUUUCAAGAGGCAUGAGCUUAAACAACUGGUCUCAGAGUGAGGUGUCUCUACAGUCUUAGCCAUGAAGAGAGAAGAUUAAAUGUUCUCCUGUUCUGUGUAUAUAGAAGAGACUGGAGCAGAGCUGCUAUCUCCAUAACAGUAGAACUACAGUGAAAUGUGAAUUCUUUGUUCAUGUUUCAUUGCCUGCUUUGAGGAAAAUAGUGAUCAUGAGAUCAGACAUCAGCCUCAGGGCCUGUGCAUGGCAUGACGCUGUUGCUGAGCAGUACUGGUGAUGAGAUAAAGAUGUUCUGACAAGAACCAGUGCCAGUUACCAGCUUGCAUCUCAGCAGGGAACAGGGCUGCUCUGACUGCCAUGGGGUAAGCUGGAUCUGCAAGCCUAUCCAGAGCCAGCUGACAUGUCCGCAGUACAUCAAGACAUGUUUCCAUCCCUGUGCCCAUGCCAGGAGGAGGUAUCGGCUCACCCAGCACCGGGGUGGAUGGUUCAGAAUUCUCUCCAGCAAAGGCUACAGCAGCAUCUGUAGCCCUGCGCCUCUGCCUGCCCUGGCGAGGCAGGACCCACAUCUUGAAAAGCGACUGUCUGUCCUGUUAGCGCCUGGAGCCCACGGCCUCUUUGCUGGGAUCAGACCCAAGAGUGCCUGCCUGACAGCUCCAGCUGCACCGGACGUCCCCAGCAUGUGCCUCGCCGUCGAAGGUUCACGGCAUCCCUUCUUUUCAUCCAGACGGCAACACUUCCUGUUGAUCUUGCUCAAGCUGAGUCUGAGCCUGGAGGCACAGGGGUUACAGAGCCUUUUUUUCCCCCAACCAUCUGUACUCAAGAGUCAUCCUGUCUUGUAUAAUUUUCCAGUGUGGAAGAGACAGGCUGGGCAGCGUGAGCUGGAGACCGCCGUGCGGCUUGGUAGUCCUUAAAAGCCAUGAGUGGCCAAGACCUGCCGAAGCAUGUUGACCAGGAGAGCUGCAGACACUGGAUUCCUAAAACCUGUGCUUUACCUAACACCUUCAUAAAGUUUCCUGAAUUAAAAUGGUUCAGGAAACAUAUUUUCAGACUGUCAGUGAGAUGCAUUCGUCACUCCCCUGAAUAUGCACCAGAUUGUUAAUGCUUUAGGCCAAAUACCAUGUCUUUUUUAAUGCCUACAAAAUGUAGUGCAUGUUGCUGGUUUUAUAUUUAUAAUAAUUAUAAAAGUAACGGGAGUAGCUGCAUUCUAAUAGGCUAGAAAUGGCCGGGCACAGACAAAAAAAAUGAUUCAUUGUUGCAAUUAAUGCUUGAGCUUGCACCUAUGAUUAAUUAGCCUGGCGACAGCACUAUGCAAAAGAUCAGGGUGAGAAUUAAUAGGGAGACAAGUGCCGACUUUUAAAAUGGUUGGACUACUAUUUAGUGCUCCUUCCUUGGGCUGCCUCGGCCCAUUUAAUUAAAGGCAAUGGCACAUACUUGCUGUGCACCAAUAGACCCAUAGGCAGGUGGUGUGGAAUAUUUAUAUAACGGUGUUCAGUAGAAAACUUAAAACUUAAACUCACAUCCAUGUCUCUAAAUAUAAUUUUGAAAUGUCAGAGAUGCUAAGAAGAGUGCUGGCACUGGAGGAGACUGCUGUCAGGAAGAGGCAAUAGCGUGCCAGAUUUAUACUGGUCUAAAUACGUAGGUGACUUUUCAGCUCGUGUGUUGAAGGGAGCCAAAAAUGCUCCAAUGGACAUACUCGAUCUGGUGGAAGGCAGAGGAACCAACAAUAACAUGUGCAACAAAUUUGGACAUCCAUAGGCGUCUAUUGCUGAUCCCCGUGGACAGCCACAUGCUUUGCCUGAAGUUGUCAUAACUGUGAUCCAGCACUGCCGAUGUGGUGGGCGGGUGCCAGGGUUUAGGUGUGUUGGCUACAGGGGGCCAGGGCAGGAAUUGUGGGGCUUUAAGCAGAACCCAUUUGUCAUUACCCUGUGAUGCUGUGUCCUUCCAUCCACAGCCUGGCAAACUGUGAAUUACAAUAGUGUACCAACGUCACCUUGAUGUUUCCUCCUCAGAGAUACCACCAAGUGUGAAUGAGAAGGGAGAGGGUAUGGAGAAGGGAGCAUUGAUGGAUGCACCCUGAUCAGAUGCUAAUGGAGAGAAGGAUGAGAGAUGUCCCACUGAGAUCUGCCUGGGGAAAAGCGCUCUGUGGAAAGGGCUUUGGCACCUUUCCUGGAGCAUCACAUCAGUGAUAGGGUAGCAGUUUGCCCCUCUUAAAUGACCUUUUGCUGACUUUUGUCCCACAAGGUAUUUAUUUUUUCCUCCUCCCAGGCUCAUUUUCCUGCAAGUGUACUCCUGGGUGAGGAACAGCUUAGCUCUUUUUUAAUAGGUGGCUUUGAUGGGUGAGAUGGAGCAGGGGCAACUCCCGAGAGCCUGAAAGUUCCCAUGAAGCACAAAUUACUCUGAAGCACCAGCCUUUUAAGCUGAGCCCUGUUGGCAAAGUUUCUUCUCCUUCUGCUGGCUCAUUAUCUUUCCCUUCUGCAUAUUUGUGCCUCCCACCACCCCAAUUCAUUUUUCCCAGUUACAGCGGCUAUUGACUGGUUUAUAUAGAUGGGGUUUAACCAGUCCUCCCCCAUGGGCUGCUCCUGAAUAGCUGAUGAGGCCGAUUUAUCUGUUCACACAUCAAUCUGAAAGCACAUGCAAAGUUAUAUCUUGGCUGACUUAAUUGUUAGGAGCUGCAACCCCAAUGUCUUUGUAAAUAAAAUGGUUUAGUCUCACGGGGCAUGCCUCCUGGAGAGAGUCGAAUAAAUACAUCAAUAUGUAAAUAGAUCCACAAGAGGAGGAUGAACUGGGACUUCGCAAAACUGAUAAAGCAUCUUAGGAGAUGUGUUGUCAUUACACUUCUUGCAUAUUCUGAUGAAGCAAACAGUAAUGCUGGAUCUCAGCCCUGGGUUGCAGGAGAGGAAGGGGGGGAAGGGAGAAGUGUGGGCACAAGCGCACCGUGACUGAAAUUCUUGUAUGGAUUGAUUUGACUUAAAUAUAUUCCGAGGCUGGUCUAAUUGCUAGUUUAGUCUCAGGCUUUGAUUUUCCUGUUGCUUUCACAUCUCUGCUGCUGAGUCUUUCCUGCAUUUCAAGCAGCCUUAUCAGGGGCAGCGUCUGGACUAAACCGAACUUCUGUCAGACCAAAAGAGAUGAUACCUGUCCUUGCUGAACCCUCCCACAAAGCACUUGCAGCAAAGUGGGCAUGAGUUAAAGGCAGUGAAGGUCAGAGUUUUGCUGCAUGAGUGUUUUGCCUGUGUAACGGGGUUAUUUUGGAAAACAAAGCCUGAAACUUUUGGGACACCAUGUUCAUGGUGGGCCCAUGCUUGUGUGACCCUCAUCAGAGAUCUUCUUAGCAAAUUGGGGGAGACCAGUUAAACGAAGCACAAACAGGAGAAAGGCCAAUUUGCUAACGCUGACACGCAUCCUGCAGGAUCCUGCCUGCUGCAGGACUGUAUAAGUGACAGCCCUUAUUUUUUCCUGUUGUGUGUCAUGUGCUGUGGUGCCCACCCACAGGAGACACUGCUCUGUGGCAGCACUGCUGCACUUCCACUGCACAGGUGGAAAUACUGAGGUUUGGUUCACAAGUGGCAGCUCUGCCUGCUGUGUGUCAGGCAAGAGGAAACCUGUAACCCGCCUCGGGCACUCGAGCAUUUCUGUGCCGAUUUCUAGGCAAAGAAGGGGAGGAGAAACCUCCCACUGCAUUGUCUGUGGUGCUGCCUCCCUUUCUGCAGGCUGAGCUCCAGCCCUUGUUUUGCAGUGUACCAUGUGGAAUUCUAUCACCUUCAGCAAUGAAAUCUGUCACCUUCAAGCUGCUUUAUUGUAAUCUGGGGACUUUUGCCCUGUCUGCUCUAACCUGGUACUGGGCUCCUGCCACAUAGCGCUGCAUUCCUCCCUACGCCAUCGCUAACAUCUAUCGAUCAGGCUCCUUGUUGCAACCAACGGUGUUAACUUUAGGGGCCACGUUUGUACUUGUUUUCUCACCAGGAUCAGAUCAUUAAUUGACCUUCCUUCUUUCUCUUUGCCUUCCUUCUGUCCGGUGUGCAUCUCAAUCCCCUUCUUCUGGUGGCUGCUUCACCUUCCUUCCCAGCCCCCGUCCAAUUUGGAGAAUAAAAGACAUGCAGUAUAGCCAGUAUUCAGGAGGUGAGCUCAGAUUUUAAAGAAUGUGAUGUAUAAAUAGAUCUUUUAAAUGAUGAUACCUUCAUGUUGCAUCAGUUAUAAAAAUACACACGUUUGAGUCAGAUUAACUGGCAUAUCUUCUCUUCAAGAAAGCAAUUUAAUAAUAAACUCAGGGAACGGUAGCUCUUCAGCAGAUGCAGCUUGGAUGUCACAGCUCCUGAAGUGUGGUGUUGUGUGAGGCUUUUUUCUGAACAGUUUGAGAACCCUGGUGUGGCAGGAUAAGAUAAAUUGACCUUGUUAAUGGGCCGUUAUUAUUAAUUAUUAUAUACUUACAUGUUAGAAUCAGAAUACUUUUGCUUACUGCUUUUCUGUAGCUUCUAUUGUAGUUGUAUUUUUGUUUCAGGGGAUACAUAAUGUUCAUCUGAAAUGCAGUUAUGGACAUGUGCAUACACAUUUGCCUGGGCUAAUUAAAAACUUAAGAGUUGCUUUUCUGCAACAACCACUAUGCAGCAAAAUGGUUGUUAACUUUUUGGAAAUGUGUUUUGUUGCAGAAAUCUGAACUUUUUGUAAAAUCAUGUAGUCAAAUCUUUGGGGUUUUGAUUUUCAAUGAAUAAUCAAUAUUUGCAACCAAAAAAUGAAAACAAAAAAGGGUGUUUAUUGAAGCUUUUCCACAGGACAAAAUCUAUACCAUGUAUUAUUAAAAACAGAGGCUUAUAUCUUGAGUUUUCUCGUGCCACAGCUUAUAAUAGCCCUUCAGAAGCUUGAAGUGGGUUUGUUUUUUUUUUCAUUAAACAAAAUGUUGUGUUCCCCCUGCUGCAUUCAUUACAGGCAGCAUAUUGGAAGGUGCCUGUGCCUGGCAGUUCUGGCCUGGAGGGCUGCUCUCAUUCAUCUCCGUCAAUGCUAUGAGUUAUUUCAUAAGCAAUGGAAUUAUUUCUUUCAAAAGUGGAUGCGUAAGGGAUGAUAGCAACAUCAGAGGUGUGAGGAGCAGUGAAAGGGAAAGCAUAUUUUCUUGGCAACAUUUUUAGACAUCUGCCUGCUGAGCACCUCAGCAGGGAGAUGGCAACUUUGGGACAGGUGCCUGGUGGUUAAGGGUGUAGUUGAUGAUGGGUGCAGCUCUUCCCCCAAGUCCCCCUCUGGCCACAGGUCUUAACCCUGACCUGUGAGACGUUCCCCCUCUUUCUCAGCUGCCUUUGUGCAGUCCCUUAUGCACUUGGACAUUUUAGGAGAUUAUAGUGGUCUCUAGGGCUGAGAAUACAAGAAUUUCUAGCACCACCAGCAAGGAGCUGGGGAAAAAUCUCGUUACUCUGUGUCCCUUCAAUUGUUGAAUGUGCCAGAAGUGGGACUUGCAGGCCAGCGCUCCAAAGCAUUGCUUUGGCAGCCAGGCAGACUUGGAAUAAAGAAAUGCUUCAGUCAUGUUUUCGCUCCCCAUGGCCAAGUUCCAAUAUUCAAAUUAGGAUUACCAGAAGUGAAAUGGAGUUGCGAUUUGCCUCUGCUGACCUUCAGCAGCUACUGUUCCAGCCCUGGGUCUCUGGAGAGCUCUGGGGAUGCACCUCCAUACUGAUGUGUCAGUCUCAUAUUCCUGCCUUAAGCCUAUCCUAAGCUGAGACGGCCAACUAACAUACCCAACUGCAGAGAUUUUGUGACAAGCUGAAAGAAGCCUUUCCUCCAGAACAUACAAAUAUGUUUUGCAAGGCAAAAAUAAGCAGUAAUGCAAACAUUAUACUCUUGUUUUUUUCCCCCCGUCUUUUUUUCUUUUUGCUUGAGGAAAGCUGGAAGAGGCAAGAAAGGACUGACAGUUUAUCCCACCAAGGGCUUUUUCUAAGAUGCCUGCUGGGAAUGCUCACUGUAUGUUUCUCUUUAGGUAGUAACUCUUUUGAUUUUCUCACUGCCUUGCAAGUCACACUGAGGUGCCUGGAGAAGGAUUUGCUGAUGGCUUAUGAAAUCUAUUCUCCCUUGAGGAUUUGCUCUUUCCAUCUUGAUAAACUUCUAAUUCUUGCUUUCUAAUAACACUGAGGGACUGUGUUUAAUGCCUUUAUGAGGGUUUUGUGAUUGAUGUUCAUCUGUGCUUGCAGGAGACCAAUGACCUCAUUUUGUUUUUGACAGAGCAUCGGGACAAGCACUCUGUAUCCUUCUCCUGUCUUGGUCAUAUAUAAAUGAAAGAGAAAGUAAAGUGGAUAUAAUAUGUCCAGAUCUGUCAGUCUGGCUCACUUGUACUCUCUCACCAUAUUGCUCAACUUCUGACACUGUUUCUGUCCAGCGUGGCAUAUGGGCACGUGUUUAAAGGACACGGUUGGCUUAUUUUUUAUAUUGUUCUGUUAUCUUGAUUUUAUUCUUCCUUCUGUACAUGAACGUCUGGGAUAUUUGGAAGUAGCUGCUCUAACUUGGCGUGGGAGUAGAUUGCUUAAAAAUUACCUCACAGAGUCAAUGUAAAUUUACGGCAGAUAAGACUUGGACCCUUUAAAAUGCCUUUUUUAACCUGUUACUGUCUUUUUUCCAAUUCCAUUCCUUCUUCUUUUUCUGAUUUAUUUCCAGCAGUUUUGAGAUGAACAUGACUCCUGUUUUAUGCUUAGACCGACCUCAUCUCUGAUACCCUAACAUUUUCUACAUGGCCCGUAGAGAGAUCUUGCACUUCUGCACAUGCAUAUAUGCACACACACAGGUACCCACCACUGGUGAAGGAUUUGUCGGUGUAAGAAAUCCUGGAGGGAAAAUGCCCACAAUGAUGAAUUCACAGAAAAUAUGUGAAAUACUAUUCCCAGAUAUCUGGGUAGUAUAAUUCACUGAAGUGUUUUCAUAGAGUAAAUGUCAUUUCCCUUUAAAAAUCCAUUUUCUUUCCUUAGGAGAAUAGACAUUUAGAGCAUGUGUACUGAAAGAGGGAAGGUAGAAGAGGCUGUGAGCAUGCCCUGCUUCCUGGGCUGUUAUGCAGAUUCUAAAUGCAAGUUUGGUUAUUUCUUAUAUAUUUCUGUUUUUCCUCUCUGCUUUUUUGCUUUGAAAUAUCUGCUUGCUUUGUCAUUGAAGAACAGCUGAGAGAUCAGGAAAAUGGCGUAAGAAUUCAGUGGGCUGUAACCUAUUUGGAUUUAAAAUAGUGCCUGGGAGAAAGCUUUUUACACUGCCUUGCUAAACAAUCCUCCUUCUGUCACCAUCUGAGGUUGCCGUCCUUUGUUCGUCAUCGUGUCGCCUUCCCUCUAACUCUCCAGAGCCUUCAAGAAAAGGAAAAGAAUGAUGAACGAGGCUUCUUUUCUUUUUCUUUUUUAAAUCCUCCCAAGUCAUUCUUUAAAAAAAAUAACCCACAACCCUUAUGGGCCAUCUGCCUUUGUUUUAGUUGCACUUCUUGGCUUUGUUUCUUCAUCAUUUCCCCCUCCUCGCCUCAUUGCAGGGCACAGCUAAGAGCUGAGGGAGGCAGCUCAGCAUCCCUGGUCUCAGCUGCAGCACUUGUAGCAUCAGAGCCUACUCAUUUGACUACAGCCAGGACAAUCUCCGCUCCCUACAGAGUCUUUUUUUUCUUCCCUCUCCCAGGAUCUGCAAAAGCAAAGCUGUGGCUGGUGUGCCAGGGGAGCGCAACUCUGGCAGCGAGGCAGAACGAGCGGGGCACCCUGUUGCUUGCCCCUGCUGCUCCCCAGCAGAGACAGGCAGGUGGUGGGGGGUUCGACGUCCUGCUGUGUGGCAAGGCCUCCAAUGCCUCCCCUUCGUGCCUGCCACCGAGCAGGCAGGUGGCAGAGGGAGGGUCCCAUCACGCUCGGGUUCCAGCUUACUCCCUCUGCAGAUGCAGAUGCAGGCAGGAGAGAGCACAUGGGUGUCCCAUGGUACAGGCUGACAGCUCAUCCUUUCACCUUUGAUUUGCAGCAAAUUGAGGAGAGGGCUACACCAAAUGGAUGGCUCUCCCAGACAGGCUCACCACCACCCGCGCUCGGGGUAGGUCUGAACGCAAACUCGAUGGCAACCUUCUGCUCGGUCUGCCAAGGCUCCAGCUCCAAACUACUUCUCCGCAUCCUCCACCUUCUUUUUCACAACCAGGUACCAAUACUGUGGACUGGAAAGCCUGCAGCUGGGAGCAAAGAGUGACUGCGCAGUCUGCUGAUCCCCGUCAGCUGAGGUGCCCCCAGACAUAGCAGUGCAGCCCCUUUCCACCAGCUGAGCCACACACAGCGGCUGUGGCACAACAGAAACGUGGGUCUUGGCUAUUUAGAUGAGAACAGAUUUGUAUUCUUCUCUUCAUGCUGCUUGCUUACCACCUGAAAUCCUCACCUGCACUUUGCAGUUCCCAACUCAAUCGUGAGCAGUAUCCUGAACUGAGCGUUCUAACUUCAGGUGAAGAAAAGGAACAGGAGCAGAUGGGCUUGUAAACAGCAGAGAUCUGGCUCUCCCACAGAGGUCCUUGCAUAGUGGAAAGCAGCAGAAUGGUUAGUAAACACUAAGCAACUUUCAUUUUCUAGGCUGAAAUGUGAUAAUCUGGGGAGGGGAGGACAGCAUAGAAACAGCAGCUAUCGUAUUCUGGCACAGUCAGCUAUUCCCAGCAGAAGCUGUUCAUGGUAGAACUCGUAGCAAAUUGGAGAAUAUGGGAAAGGGGGGUACGUUUUCCAGCAACAGGGAAUUUAUGGGUGAUGAAAACAAGAUUUCCAGCAGCCCUUUUCCACUAGCAUUUUAGUUUUGGUUUCUAAAGAAGAAUCCUAAUGUUUUUCUGUCAUUCCUCCCUCCCUUUGAAUUAAUUUUGAAACUAUCAGUCAAUCAGAGUUGUGAGUAAUUUCACUGAUAACACAAUUCCCACAAGUUACCUGAAGGUUGGCAGCUGAAUGGAGGAAAAAGAAACCUGAAGUAGAGUCCGCACUGGUGGAAGAAGACUCACCCACAUCCGUUGCAAGAAGCAGCAGCAGCCAGCUGGCCAGGCUGCACACGUGCUGCUCUGAUCUAGUGUGUGCUGCCCUUUGUCCAGCCAAUCACGUACAGGACGUGGAAGUGAGCAGGAAUGUGGUGGGGAAAGGCAGAGGGGAAGAUGAUCUGUGGGAUCUAAUUCCCUAACAAUUUAUCUUGGGUUCUUUGGCUUCUCAGGGAUCCGCUUGUUGCUGCACGUGUUCCAUUAGUGGAGUGACAGUGAAGAGAACCAGGGUGCAUCAGACUCGUGGGUGAAGUGUGGGUAGCUGGUCGGUCUGUCUGUCCUGCUGUGUCUGCUCCUGCAGGUGCAGUGAGGGGACAGUCACAAGGGCAAUGGGAAGAAUAGCCUAGUGCUGACAUAACCUGUCAGAGCCUUCCAGCUGGGUGUUGACAAAGCUCCGAGUCCAUCUUGCUGCCCCCAAGAAGCAGUACAUGAACUGUUUUUUGAAGGGACACAGAUCCCUGGCUAUAUAAAUUCUGGUUUUUAGUUCCUCUUUCCUUACCCUCUGUGUAAUAGAGCCUAAGAGUGAAGCAAGCAGCAGGUGUCUUCCCCCAUUAGAAAGCUGGGGACUCCUUACUUUUCUUUCACGCUUGGGCAGGACCCUUUUUCCUGCCAUUUCUAGCCAUCCUUUGCUUAGUACUGAACCCCAGGGGAAUUUGGUUGCUUAGCUUUAGAGCCAGGAAAUUAAUGAAGAGGGGCAGGAAAAGAAAGAAAACAGAAUAAGGAGGCUCACUGCCAUAGUUUAUUGAGCCCAGAGAGAUUUCUAUAAGCCACAUGGUAUCAGGCGUAAAACAAAUGACAGGUGAUAACCAAUGUGGAAGAAUGGAGCAGGCCAAAACUCCCACAGCCCACUGAGUCCCCAGAAAUGUUGGAUAGGCUUAAACAGCAAUUUAACAUGUACCUGCCAGCAAAGAGCAGCCCCUCUACCUUGUUCCUGUCAAGAAGUGGUCCUGAUUCAUGUGAUGUGUUUUCUUUCCUCAGACAGGGAGACUACUGCAGAUCCUGUGGAGUGCAAGAAUCAUGGAGAAAACAGACCUAUGAAAGAUGGUUCCAGGUUGGGAUUUUAGAGAGGUUUGUGCUUGAUCUAGGGUUGCAAAGUUGGUGUUUCUAUUUUUCUUGGGGACUGAGAGGGGAGAGAUUACUGAGUCCCUGGGUCUUAAUGUAAAAUUAUUAGGAUCUGGAACAGAUUCCCAAAAAGACAUUUAGGGACAACUACAUGCACAAAGCAGCUUGAAUAUGCCUACUGCCAGAGUUCGUCCAGUCCCAGAUAAAGCCUCUGAAAUGGGCAGUGCUUUAAUAAGGUACAUCUGUUUGGGGACUCAAAAUACAAGAAAGAAAUAUCUGAGGAGGAAGAGAUAGCACUUUCUCCAUUUCCUAGAAAGGAGGGAGAAAAUGCCAAAAAGUUAUUAAUUUUUUUCUUGAAAAUGUCUCAGCUGGACAAGAGCCACUCCAGGUUAGGACAAACCCCAUAACCCAACACUUGCAGAACAAGUGGGCUCACUUCAUCCUGGCACAAGCAGUUCUGGCAUUUCUAGGGAGAUCUGCAACUCCAAGUAAUAACCUCAGAGAUUAACUGAAGUCUGAAAACAAGUUUAUUUGGUAGGUGGGCUAGAGGGGGCUUUAAUUAUGUGUUUAGGUCUGUGCUGCUUUAAGCAUUAGUUUUGCCUGGGAAAGGAAGCUGUAGCAUCAGGAACGACACCUUCACACAGCUUAGAUUUGAAGAUGGAAAAUCAGGGGGGACUGGCGAAAGCCUGUCGUCUGUUAUGGCAGAUGGAAAUGAGCUCUGAAUUAAAAGAAUAUCUUUUGUUUGUUUUGGGCCAAAAAUAACUGGACUCUGCAUAAGGCCUGAUUUCCUGAGAACGGGUGCUCAGCAGUUUUUUGACAGUCUGUCAGAAGGAAGGCAUCCAAAAUCCAGACUAUACACAUCUGAAAUUUUUUUUGCCGUAUUUCUCCUUUCUGCUUUGUUUGUCAUAUUCUUCUUGCAGCUUUCCAGAGCAGAGUUACUCUUCCACUUGUUCCCCUUUGCCUCCUGUUAAGUCAAUCGCUUUAUUUUCCACCAUUAUUUGUAUUGUAGUCACUCCCAGAAUCUGCGAAAUCUUCCUCGGAGUUCUCCAUGUCUCCUGAGCUUACUGCCAACUCUCCCACUACAGCUUUUCAUUCUUCCUUCUGUAGAAGAACAAAAGGCCAGAAAAGUGUGCUGUGACACCCAUUCAGGUGCCAUUCCCCUGUGAUUCUUUAAAAACUCUAUAUGCAUUUAUAGUCGUGGAGAAGGGCUGAAGCAGAAAGCUUGCAGGCUAAAUUGGUGUUAGCACAUGAAAGAGAAGCAAGUGCUAUGGCCUGGUAUCGGGCACCGGGUUCUGGUUUUGGUUUGGAUGCUGACUCAUUCAGCGAGCUCAGGGAAAUCAUUUCCCUUCUCUGUGCACCUGUUUCCACUCCCCACCUCUAAUUGUCUCCCUGUUUAGACUAGGAGCUCUUCAGGACACAGCCUGUCUCUCGCUGCGUGUACGUACAACACCUCAGCACAAUGGAGCCUUGUCUUGGUUGGGGCCUUAGGUGUUCGAGUAGUACAAACAAGAAUAAAAGGUAUGCCCAGACAGCAAGGCAAGCUUCCCAGACAUGCUGCCCUGCAAGCAUGUCUGAAAAUGAUGUGCUGGGAGCUGUCUCUGUUCCCAGUCCUUGGCUUCUCUCAGCCGGCCAGCAAAGCAUUAACCAGUUCCAAUUACAAUGGUGAGGUGAACUGGCACGGUCCCAGUUCCACUGGGAACCCGUGUGAAAUCACUAAACUCAUUUUGCAGACUCAAGCAGCGCCUGAUAGGAACCUCCAUCCACACAGCUACAGACCUGCCUGGAGCUGCGCCACCUCCCUGCAGGUGAAAAGCUCCUUACGUCAGCCCUGAAGCUCAGAGCCAUCUCAUCCCACUCCCAGCACACACUGCGCACGCUUGAGCCUGCUCCAAUUUGCCAGCAGAGAAAUGAGCAAAAACAUUUUCUCCUUUCCUCCCUUGUCUGAAGAGGUGCGUACAUGUCUCUCUGGCUUUUCUUCUUGUCCGCUGGCUUUUGCAUAGCCCCUUCCUCCAGUUUUUUGCUCGUUCCCUGCACUCCAUCCCAUCUUUUCCGUUCCUCCCUGGUUUGAUACAGCAUCUCACUGGUCCUGCUUCACACUAAGAGAAGGGGUAUUAGAUGGAUUCCCCAUAGAGUAUAAAUUGAAUGGAGAGAAGUGGCUGGUUUCCCAGCAAUAAUUUAUCUGAUUAAAAAAAUACUCCCCAAACUCCCCCUCCUCUGCUGGUCCUACGCCCCCUCCAAAAAGAACAUUGGCACUUGGGCUAGUGUUUGAACUGUAUUAUUCAAAUUGCUGGAAGGGGGAUUUAGAUGGGAAAAUAACUGUCAAAAGAUGGUUCUCUGGGGAUUUUCCCCAGAUAGCGUGAGCUCUGAAAUUUGGAACAUGGGUUGUUGAACGGAGGAGGCAGAGAGAGUAAAUAAUUCUGAGUCAAGCACCUCCGUGAUUUCUAGCUUUGCCCUCAUCUAACAAAUAUCUUACACAGAUACACACAGAUGCACAUGCACAUGCUCACACACAUGUGCCCCUGCACACACAUUUCAUAGAAGAAGCCAUUAGCAGUAACUUUAAAGCACAGCAAGCUGUUCCUGCUGUUCCCUUUCUCCUCUCAUUUUUUUUUCCUUACUUCAGGGCUGAUUCCAAAUAAAAGAAGAGAUCUGCUUCAUAAAGUGCCUGUCUCCUUGUUUAUUACCUCUACAGGUGUUAUUCCUUUCAAAUCAGUGCUACCCAAGGCUGGUAGUUUUCUUUUCCUGCCGAAGCCAACAUUCCUUUACUCGUAUGGCCUGUUGUAAUUGCAGAAUGGAAAAGUCACCCCAACACCCCUCUUCAUCACAGCAAUGCAGUGUGGGUGACCUGAACUAUGUAUUUCUGGCCCAUCUGUAUUUCGGUGUUGCCGCCUUCUUUGCGGAGAGAGGCAGGUAUUUUACAUUUCAUACUGUUCCUGCAGUAUGCUGUGAUUUAUAACAGGAGCUACCUUAUUAAUGUCAAGGGCAGAAUUGCUACCGACAUUCAAGCUGCAAGAGCGUAUGAAAAUCAUUUAGUUAGCUAUGGCGUGGUCCCAGCACUGAGGGCUGUUAGCUGAUGUGCAUUCCUCUCCCUUCUCGCAGCCUCUGCCAGUCUUUGUGCUGGUUUCUGGGCCAGUGGGUGAAAUGUGAACAGGCCCAUUCUAAGCCAGAGAUUUUCAACGUUGGAGCAACCUUAAGCUAGUCACCAGGGCUCAGGUUUCCUUGCUUUUUGACAGGAGUACUGUUCAGAUGAAACCUCUCUCCACUCCUCUGGAGGAUUUACACCGCCACAAGUCUUCAUUUUUUCCAGAUGUUUUACCUAAUAAAUCAAGGAGUCUCAUCAGAGGAUUCAAAUCCAAAAGCUGUUACCAUGACUUCAAAGGCACAGGCUGAAAUGGAAAGAAGCAGUGCGGACAUUUUAUACUGCUCUGUAGUCACCAAUCAUGAAAACACACUCCAGUUCCAGGAUUUCUUUCCUGUGGAUAGCAAAACUCCACUGUGAUUAAAUAAAAUGGUGCUGUGCUCCUUCAGCCAACCUUUGCUUAAAAGAAUUGAGCUGCAGCACUCACAGGCUGUAUGGUUGGCAGUAACUGAGGAUAGCGCUGGUCCUGAGAGGAGGUGAGCUCUGCCAACCCCCGUCCAAGAUCAGGGACUGUUAACUCAGGUUUGAACUCUCUCUGUCCUUACAGAUCAAUAUGAAGCUGCAUAUUUUCUGACACUGCUAGUUUAAGCUAUUCUCACAUAAAGGAUUCAGAUGUCCAUUCAUAUUUUUCAGAUCUUUCAGAGAGGAAAAGAUAAAAAGAGUUACAUGGCUGAAAAAUGUGAUUGUGAUUAUUCAUACUGGUUUGUUCCUUGAUCAAGAAUGUAACUUUUUUUUAAAUACAGUGAACCCUUUCUGUUUUCGGUGUCUACAUGGUGUCAUCUUCUUUCACUGUUAAAUUUCUAAAGAUAAAUGCUCCAGCGUUUUGAGAAACUGUUAUGUAUGUGUUUCUAAUUACUUGAUAGCACAGUGUACUGCAGGAUAAUGUAAUGAAGAAAAGCAGCUGAAGAAAGAAAAGAUGUUCCUGCGGGUAGGUGAGCUGAAGACCUGCAAUACUGUAUUUUGGUUCCCUGCUUUCCUUAAGAGUGCUGUUGUGGCUCUGGCUGGGCUAGGUGCUGCCCAUCAGAGAUACCAGAGUUAGGCUGUGUUCUACAGCAGCUUCUGGCAGCAAUGCCAAGGUAAGCUGCUCUUCUUCACCCCUCACUUUGUCUGCCCUGUCUGUGCAGAUAGCUGUGGGGCUGCAUGCUAAACGUUUUCCUCACUGAAUUUGUCUCACCGCUCCACAAACAGUUUUAUGAGCAGGACUGAGCGAAUGCUGCCAGGUGAGGAAUAGGCUGCCAGUGGCAGGAGGUAGGAGGUGGUGUGUGGCCUUCAGCCAUGAAGAGAGGUACCCAGGUUGAGUGUUGAGUUUCAAGAGAGGAUUUGGACUGGCUCCUUGACAGGGCUGCCCUGUGCAGUCUCCCUGCAAAACCAUGAAGUGAGGAGGCUGUGACAACCCUGUAGGGGUACCUACAGCAGGUGAUGUGAGCAGAGACUUUGGCUUGCCCUGUCUGAGGAUUCUGGUAUGUGAAUAAGUUGUCACUGGGGGGCUGUCAAGGGAGGGCUAAGCGAACUCCCUCUUACACUGGUUGCAGGUUAAAAGCAUGUAGAGGGCUCUUGCUGCAAAGCAGAUGUUGUGGUAGACUGCUUGCAGGCCAGAUGUCCGAGGGAAGUGGAGACUGUAGUACUUGGAGUACUGUGAAAGUACUGUGCAACCCACAGUAAACACUGUAGUUAUGUAAAACAGACUCGGGACAUGAGUUUAUUCCAGUUAGACUGUAUUCUGUAUGUCCCAGGCAGCAGGGAGCAAGAGGGCAUUUGGUCCUGCAACAUGCUUAACCAGAUCUUAAAAAAUCACCAUGGUUGCCGAACAGGUUUUCAUAUAGGAUGUUUCAGAGAAGGGGAUGUCUUGUUGGUGGAGGGUUGUUAGAGAAGAAAAAGCCAGGUCCAUAUGUCCUGUGUUAUAAUGAUACGUUCAGACUGAAAAAUAACCUUAUCUAAAUAUUAAUAAUAAAAUAACAGUUACCAUGAUACAGUUUGCGCCUGCCACAGACUUCAGAAGAAUUGCUGCGUGUCUUCCCCCCCAAGAUUCUGAAGCCCAGCACCCCGAACUGUCAUGACUGCCUGGGAUUGGUGACAUCUAGAAUGAUACGUGUUGGAUCAUCAGAACAGAGUGGGAGCAGCACAGCCUGGCUUCUGUUUCCAAAAAUAGGUACUAUCAUUUCUGAGCAGAAGCCUCCCUUCUUUUUCCCCACCCAGCCCUGCCUGUUU